UACGGGGGGGGCAAGCGUUGUUCGGAAUUACUGGGCGUAAGGCUCGUAGGCGGCCAACUAAGUCAGACGUGAAAUCCCUCGGCUUAACCGGGGAACUGCGUCUGAUACUGGAUGGCUUGAGGUUGGGAGAGGGAUGCGGAAUUCCAGGUGUAGCGGUGAAAUGCGUAGAUAUCUGGAGGAACACCGGUGGCGAAGGCGGCAUCCUGGACCAA
rnacentral:rRNA from 1 species